UACGAAGGGGGCUAGCGUUGUUCGGAAUUACUGGGCGUAAAGCGUGCGCAGGCGGCCAUCCAAGUCAGUGGUGAAAGCCCGGAGCUCAACUCCGGAAUUGCCAUUGAAACUGUUUGGCUCGAGUACGAGAGAGGUGAGUGGAAUUCCCAGUGUAGAGGUGAAAUUCGUAGAUAUUGGGAAGAACACCGGUGGCGAAGGCGGCUCACUGGCUCGUAACUGACGCUCAUGCACGCCAGCGUGGGGAUCAAACAGG
rnacentral:rRNA from 1 species